rnacentral:lncRNA from 1 species
GAACGGCUUUAUUAAUACCUGCCUUACCCUUUCAUUGAAGGUGAACCCUUCCAUGCUUGCUAUUCCAGAAGUAUUCUGUUCCCAUUGCCACUGCUGCGUGUGUCAGCCUUGUGGCUGUACCUUAUGUCCAACUCAGAAUGUGUGCUGUGUGAGUGGAGAUGUGCUCCUAUGGUACGCUGCCCUUCCUCCCAGAAGGCAUCUUGCCCAGCCCUGUUUCCCACUUAGCCUUGGCAAGGCGCUCAGUCACUCAGGUGGCAAUUCGAGCAGUGGCAUUCACUUACAGUUUUACAUCCCUGAAUUGAACCCCGAGCUUUUCCAGCGACUAGUGCAGGGGGCUGCCCAAAAUAACCACCCAACUGCCGAACAAAUAACAAAUGGGUCUUCUUACUACUCAAUAAAAUACUGGUAUUUUCAUCUUAAUGUAGCGAUAGAUUGUUUCAGGUUACAAAUAGGUCUGGCCAGGGAAAAAA